rnacentral:lncRNA from 1 species
GUUCCUUAUGAUAUGAUCUUUCAUAUUUUAAUGCCAAAUUAGAGAUUUUACCCCAUUUUCAUGGUCCACUAAACAUAGAAAGUAAUAGUCCGGAUGGGACAUCCGUGUACUAUGGACACAUUCUUGUUCAAUAUGUAAAAGAAGAAAAAGUAAAAAUCAGCUGAGUCAGAGAUAUUUUUCAGCAGCACAUGUAAUUAGUGAAAAAUAUAGUAGAAAAUCUCCUGUCAAUGAUCAGCAGC